AAUCAACGCUGGCGGCGUGCCUAACACAUGCAAGUCGAACGGGAAAGUGGAGCAAUCCAUGAGUACAGUGGCGUACGGGUGAGUAACACGUGACUACCUACCUUCGAGUGGGGGAUAACCCCGGGAAACCGGGGCGUAAUACCGCAUAACAUCGAAAGAUCAAAGGAGAAAUACCGCUGGAAGAGGGGGUCGGCGGCUGAUUAGCUAGUUGGUAGGGUAAUGGCCUACCAAGGCGAUGAUCGGUAGCCGGCCUGAGAGGGCGCACGGCCACACUGGAACUGAAACACGGUCCAGACUCCUACGGGAGGCAGCAGUGGGGAAUUUU
rnacentral:rRNA from 1 species